rnacentral:rRNA from 1 species
AUUGAACGCUGGCGGCAGGCUUAACACAUGCAAGUCGAGCGGGGGAAGGUAGCUUGCUACCGGACCUAGCGGCGGACGGGUGAGUAAUGCUUAGGAUUCUGCCUAUUAGUGGGGGACAACAUCUCGAAAGGGAUGCUAAUACCGCGUACGUCCUACGGGAGAAAGCAGGGGAUCUUCGGACCUUGCGCUAAUAGAUGAGCCUAAGUCGGAUUAGCUAGUUGGUGGGGUAAAGGCCUACCAAGGCGACGAUCUGUAGCGGGUCUGAGAGGAUGAUCCGCCACACUGGGACGGAGACACGGCCCAGACUCCUACGGGAGGCAGCAGUGGGGAAUAUUGGACAAUGGGGGGAACCCUGAUCCAGCCAUGCCGCGUGUGUGAAGAAGGCCUUAUGGUUGUAAAGCACUUUAAGCGAGGAGGAGGCUACUCUAGUUAAUACCUAGGGAUAGUGGACGUUACUCGCAGAAUAAGCACCGGCUAACUCUGUGCCAGCCGCCGCCGUAA